rnacentral:rRNA from 1 species
GACAGGAGGCCCCAAGCGUUAGGCGGAAUCACUGGGCUUAAAGCGUGUGUAGCGGACGCCUAAGUGUCUUGUGAAAUCCCACGGCUCACCCGUGGAACUGCUGGGCAUACUGGGCGUCUUGGGCCAACUAGGGGCGAGCCGGGAACAAGCGGUGGAGCGGUGAAAUGCGUAGAUAUCGCUUGGAACGCCGAAGGUGAAACAGGCUGCUGGGGUUGCGCCGACGCUGAGACACGAAAGCCAGGGGAGCAAACGGG